rnacentral:sRNA from 1 species
GUCGGGUUCGGAACGAAGUGGUUGACCCGGCCCCCAAUGACGGCCAAGGUGCGCUUGCCUUGAGUGACCAUCUGCACACCACGGGUCCUGAACGCCUU